rnacentral:rRNA from 1 species
UGGGGAAUAUUGCGCAAUGGGGGAAACCCUGACGCAGCAACGCCGCGUGAAGGAUGAAGGUCUUCGGAUUGUAAACUUCUUUGAUGAGGGAAGAAUAAAUGACGGUACCUCAAAAACAAGCCACGGCUAACUACGUGCCAGCAGCCGCGGUAAUACGUAGGCGGCGAGCGUUAUCCGGAAUUACUGGGUGUAAAGGGCGUGUAGACGGGGAAAUAAGUCAGAUGUGAAAUUCUUGGGCUCAACCCAAGCGCUGCAUCUGAAACUGUAUCUCUUGAGUGCUGGAGAGGAUAGUGGAAUUCCUAGUGUAGCGGUGAAAUGCGUAGAUAUUAGGAGGAACACCAGUGGCGAAGGCGACUAUCUGGACAGUAACUGACGUUGAGGCGCGAAAGCGUGGGGAGCAAACAGG